CGGUGGAGCGAUGUGGUUUAAUUCGUAAGCAACGCGAAGAACCUUACCAGGCCUUGACAUGCAGAGAACUUUCCAGAGAUGGAUUGGUGCCUUCGGGAACUCUGACACAGGUGCUGCAUGGCUGUCGUCAGCUCGUGUCGUGAGAUGCUGGGUUAAGUCCGUAACGAGCGCAACCCUUGUCCUUAGUUACCAGCACGUUAUGGUGGGCACUCUAAGGAGACUGCCGGUGACAACCGGAGGAAGGUGGGGAUGACGUCAAGUCAUCAUGGCCCUUACGGCCUGGGCUACACACGUGCUACAAUGGUCGGUACAAAGGGUUGCCAAGCCGCGAGGUGGAGCUAAUCCCAUAAAACCGAUCGUAGUCCGGAUCGCAGUCUGCAACUCGACUGCGUGAAGUCGGAAUCGCUAGUAAUCGUGAAUCAGAAUGUCACGGUGAAUACGUUCCCGGGCCUU
rnacentral:rRNA from 1 species